rnacentral:lncRNA from 1 species
CACCUUCACUUCCUCUCUCUCUCUCUCUCUCUCUCUCUCUCUCUCUCUCUCUCUCUCUCUCUCUCCUCCUCCUCUUCUCUCUAUCUUUCUCUUCUGUCUGUUCUCCUCGGGAACCACGAGUCACCAACCUGAAUCUUGUAAAUUAACCCCCCGAAAAAACAACAACAAGAGGCUGGACAGGAGAAGAAAGGACGAGAGGCGAACCGAGCGAUAGAGAGAGGAGAGGAGUGAGAGAUUACAGACUCAAAGACGCACAACCAUGAUACUUUCUAAUCAUUCUAUUCAUUCAUUUUUCUGCUGCUGCUGUUCUGUAGAAUCCAGACGGAUCGGUCCAGGAGGAAGCUACCUCCCCCGCCACCAGAUAACGACGAUGGGGGAGACAUACUAGUGGUGGCCAUGUAUGACUUUACAGCUAAAGAGGACACAGACCUGACUUUGACCCAGGGAGAGGAGUACACUAUCCUACACAAACAGGACCAGCUGUGGUGGAGGGCACAGGACAAACACGGGUAGAUUGGUGAGAGGGCACAGGAUAAACACGGGUAGGUUGGGUGGGAGGGCACAGGAUAAACACGGGUAGGUGGGUGGGAGGGCACAGGACAAACACGGGUAGGUUGGGUGGGAGGGCACAGGAUAAACACGGGUAGGUUGGGUGGGAGGGCACAGGAUAAACACGGGUAGAUUGGUGAGAGGGCACAGGAUAAACACGGGUAGGUGGGUGGGAGGAGUGUGCGUCUCCUCACAGUUCACUCAAAGUGCAUCACACACACACACACACACACACACACACACACACACACACACACACACACACACACACACACACACACACACACACACACACACACACAGACACACACACACACACAUACACACACACAACAAGGUUAAUGACAUCUUGUUUGUGUGUGUGUGUGUGUGUGUGUGUGUGUGUGUGUGUAUAUAUAUAUAUACAGGGCACAUUUGGAAAAGAGACCUAUAGGUCUCAAUAUGUUUAUAAAAUUAAAGGUUAAUAUAAACAAAUACUAAUCUGCUUUAAACCAAAGAGAAACACCUUGAUGUGAUGUAAUCAUGUUUGAUUGGUUAACCCUGAACUCUCUGUCCCCUAUCAGAAAUAAGGGCUUUGGUUAACCCUGAACUCUCUGUCCCCUAUCAGAAAUAAGGGCUUUGGUUAACCCUGAACUCUCUGUCCCCUAUCAGAAAUAAAGGUUUUAUCCCCAGUAACUAUGUUACAGAAAAGGACAGAAUUGAGGCCAACCAGUGAGUAUGGUUAAAAUGUACUUACACAGUCCAGUACUACACAGAUAGUACACAGUCCAGUACUACACAGAUAGUACACAGUCCAGUACUACACAGAUACUUACACAGUCCUCCAGUACUACACAGAUAGUACACAGUCCAGUACUACACAGAUAGUACACAGUCCUCCAGUACUACACAGAUAGUACACAGUCCAGUACUACACAGAUAGUACACAGUCCAGUACUACACAGAUAGUACACAGUCCAGUACUACACAGAUACUUACACAGUCCUCCAGUACUACACAGAUAGUACACAGUCCAGUACUACACAGAUAGUACACAGUCCAGUACUACACAGAUAGUACACAGUCCAGUACUACACAGAUACUUACACAGUCCUCCAGUACUACACAGAUAGUACACAGUCCAGUACUACACAGAUAGUACACAGUCCAGUACUACACAGAUAGUACACAGUCCAGAACUACACAGAUACUUACACAGUCCUCCAGUACUACACAGAUAGUACACAGUCCAGUACUACACAGAUAGUACACAGUCCAGUACUACACAGAUAGUACACAGUCCAGUACUACACAGAUACUUACACAGUCC